GUGGCCCCUCUGGCAUCACAGGCCCCUCUGAUCAGCGUGGUCCCAGCAGCAGCAUGGUCACUGGGCAUCAACAUGGUCCCAGGUAGCUGGCUAAACCCUGGGCAUCCACAGACCCCACCGUGGCAACUGAAGACAUGGACACCACCCAGACAUGACCCUAGAAAACGACCUGUACCUAGAAGUCUCCAUGGUUCCAGGUGGCAGCACCAGCCAUGACCCCAGGUGCUGAGAUGGUCUGACUGUCCUGGGGUUGACGCUGGUGUGGCACGGUGUUCUCCCCACCACGAGGGGCACAGAAAUCCACCAGGAUUACCAGGGGAGAUGGGGCCUGGCUUAGGGAGAAGGUUAUGUUAAACAGGUCAGGGAGUGGCCAACCUGGGUGGCAAGAAGAAACCAAGAAAGAUGUGUGACAAAUUCAGAUUCCUUGAAGCCAGCUUGGGAAGGGAGCCUUGUGAAAGACGAAGGCAAGAAGAAGCUCGUUGCGUCUGGAGUCAGGACUCAAUGGAUAUGAAGCAGAAUCAGGUCACAGAUUCCUCUUCUCAAGUUGAAAAAGGAAUAAAUGCUUUGGGAUUUUGGAUGUUUAUUGGCCGACAAGACCAGUGCUGGCCAUUUCUGGAAAACUAGACCCAUAAUUGUGUGCUAUGGGCAUGCAUUUUAAAAAAUGUAAAUCUCAGCUUCGAGUCUAAUGCCUCUUUUGGCAUUUGAGAGUUCUGGGUUAAGGUUGAGUGGAAUUCCUAAGUCUACUACCGGUCACAGUCGGCUAACUCUCUUAAUUAGCACAGGACCACUGUAUUGUAUAAGCGCCACCUCUCUGCUCAGCAAUGACUAACCGCUCCAUUCCAGACUGUUUACUUAAGAGGGGGGCUUUCGCCCACAAUCAAUGUUUCUGGGCACUGAACCUAUUUAAUUCUGAGAGACAAAGAAGGCUAAUGUGGGUCUGGUCCCCUAUUCCUCCUGUCCUUCUCCAUAGCCCAUCCUUCUCUGCCCAGUCACCGAAUCCUCAUGCUGGGGGUGACUCAGCACCAAGUCUCCUCUAGCCAUUAAACGGUACAACCUUGAUAAAUUCACUUCUCUACU